GAAAAUUUCAGAAAGUGGCGUUGAAUGAGAAAAGUCGUAAGCUCUUCUAGUGAUCUAAAUUUCUCAUCUUUCAAUAUUAGAUUAUUACUUAUAUAAGUAGAUUAUUGUAUUGUAAUGUGUUUAAGAAGAAACCGAUGGAUUGUUAUUUCUUUAAAACCCACAUGAAUUUGAUUGAAAAAAUUGAGACAAAUGUCAGUGACCAGUAACCAAAGUAAUAAUUUUUGAAAUUAGAUUAAGUUCUAUUUGUUAUGAAUAUGUAUAGAGUCCAUUGGUAUUGCAAUAUGUUUGGUACGGUAAAGAAAAAUUGGAUCUGAGACUUUGAUGCUUUGGCGGCUCAUUAAAUUGAGGCAACAUAUUGUUAUUGUUGAUAAUUAUCUAUUGGGAUUAACGGUAAGUGGUGUGUGAUUGGAUAACUAUUAGAAACAAAUCAAUGAUCAGGCAUAUCAUAUUAGAUUAAGGUUACAAAUACACUAGGCUUUAAUUUGCAGUUAUAGUCACUAGUUUCAUGAAUUUUUGAGCUGUUUUUUUUAAAAGAACUAUUUGAUUAUCAUACUGUGAUUUAAGUUUUGAUACAUUGAUAUGGGUAAUUAAAUAUUAGGUGUAUCAAAUUAUUUGAAUUCUAUUAAAGUUAUGUUAAUUGGAGGAAUUCAGACCUAUAUUUAGGUUUGAACUUUAGGAAAUUUAUUAUAGAAUUAGGUGAGUUUUUGAGUCUAGGCUAGGCAUAAAAUAAUAUGAGUGUUUAUAGACUCUUUAACAUACAAAUUAUGCAUAGAUACUUGAUAGAUUGGAAAGGUUCAGAGGUAUGAGGAAAGGAAAAGCAUUGGAUAAGUAGCUUGCUUGACUUCGGUUCUUCGGUGAAGCUAGUGUACCAGGAAAUUUGUCUCGACCACAGCUCUAGCAAGUCACAUCAUAUCAGCUUCAAGGGUGAGCUAUUCAUUCGAGCUCGGGUCGAAUUCUUUUGGUCAUUAUCUGAUGUCCUUAGUUUUCGAACACAAAUUACUACUUUUCAUUUACUUUGGUGUCUCUGAUACUCUUAGACUUAGUAAUUGGAGAUUAGAUGUCCUUGUUAUGAUGACUUUCAGAUUUUCGAGAUAAUAUGUAACAUACAUUAGAGGUUUAUCUGAUUAGUUACUUUGA